rnacentral:rRNA from 1 species
UACGUAGGGGACAAGCGUUGUCCGGAUUUAUUGGGCGUAAAGAGCGUGUAGGCGGCCAAGCAGGUCCGCUGUGAAAACUCGAGGCUCAACCUCGAGACGUCGGUGGAAACCGUUUGGCUAGAGUCCGGAAGAGGAGAGUGGAAUUCCCGGUGUAGCGGUGAAAUGCGCAGAUAUCGGGAAGAACACCAGUGGCGAAGGCGAUCACCUGGGGUUGUUCUGACGCUGAGGAGCGAAAGCUAGGGGAGCAAACGGG